UGCUUUUUCUACAGUAUGGGAUAAUCUGACAGUCCCAGAGGGGUAAGACAAAGCAUAAGGCACAAGAAUCUAGUCUGAAAUGGAGGAUAAAGCCUUUAUAUAGAAACUUGGGAGGCAUAAGAUGCAUGCUCCAGGUACAAAAAGUCAGAGUCUUCAGAGAGGUCGGAAGGCUCCAAACGAGAAAGGCUACUGCGACGACCCAAGGAGUCUAGACUUGAUUGGUCAUCAUCAGCCAAGACGUGAUUAUGCAUCAGGAACCAUUCCAAAGCAUACCAAUGGAAGGGAAACUUGACCUGAACAUGUGGUUUGAAGAAAAGGAAAACUGAAACAAAUGUGAAGAAUAAUUCUCAAAAUGAA